CCUACGUGUGGCAGCAGUGGGGAAUAUUGGGCAAUGGAGGCAACUCUGACCCAGCAACGCCGCGUGAGUGACGAAGGUCUUCGGAUUGUAAAGCUCUUUAAGCGGGGACGAAAAAAGUGACUGUACCCGCAGAAUAAGCCUCGGCUAACUACGUGCCAGCAGCCGCGGUAAUACGUAGGAGGCAAGCGUUAUCCGGAAGGACUGGGCGUAAAGGGUGCGUAGGUGGUUUGGCAAGUUGGUAGCGAAAUCCCGGGGCCUAACCUCGGUGCUACUACCAAAACUGUUGAACUUUAGUGCAGGAGGGGUGAAGGGAAUUCCCAGGGUAGCGGUGGAAUGCGUAGAUAUUAGGAAGAACACCAGCGGCGAAGGCGAUUCACUGGACUGUAACUGACACUGAGGCACGAAAGCGUGGGGAGCAAACAGGAUUAGAUACCCGGGUAGUC
rnacentral:rRNA from 1 species